rnacentral:tRNA from 1 species
GACCCCGUAGCUCAGCAGGAUAGAGCACAGGAUUCCUAAUCCUGGUGUCGGAGGUUCGAAUCCUCUCGGGGUCGCCA